rnacentral:tRNA from 1 species
GCGCAGUCUUGAUACAUACACGGGGGCGGUCAGCCUCCCAAGCUGAUAGCGUGGGUUCGAUUCCCAUCACCC